rnacentral:lncRNA from 1 species
AUUAAAAAGACUAAAAAUAAAAAAAAAAUUGCAUAAAUGUCACCUUGUUGAAAAAUCAACAGUCCCCGGCAACGACACUAAAAACUUGAUGACUUCUUGGCAAGUGUAUCGAUAUUUUCAAAGUAAUAAAAAGAUCAAAUCCACAGAGAAUGCCGCCAAGCAAGAAAAAAUAUGUGCAAUGUAUAAAAACUAGUAGGGGGUGAGUUUUAGUGCGAAAAGUAAAUAAACGAGUCAACAAUGUCACGAAAGUGGUCAGGUUCUGUUCUAGAAUUC